GAUGAAGAACGUAGCGAAAUGCGAUACGUAAUGUGAAUUGCAAAUUCAGUGAAUCAUCGAGUCUUUGAACGCACAUUGCGCCCCCUGGUAUUCCGGGGGGCAUGCCUGUCCGAGCGUCAUUGCUGCCCUCAAGCACGGCUUGUGUGUUGGGCCCCGUCCUCCGAUUCCGGGGGACGGGCCCGAAAGGCAGCGGCGGCACCGCGUCCGGUCCUCGAGCGUAUGGGGCUUUGUCACCCGCUCUGUAGGCCCGGCCGGCGCUUGCCGAUCAACCCAAAUUUUUAUCCAGGUUGACCUCGGAUCAGGUAGGGAUACCCGCUGAACUUAAGCAUAUCAAAAGCGGAGGA
rnacentral:misc_RNA from 1 species